CUUUAAGUGACUGAAUUAAAGUAAUGGUCUCUUAAACCAGAAUAUGGUGUCCACCACCCUUAAAGA
rnacentral:tRNA from 1 species